GUUAGGAAUAUUGGACAAUGGGCGCAAGCCUGAUCCAGCCAUGCCGCGUGAACGAUGAAGGCCUUCGGGUUGUAAAGUUCUUUAGUCGAUGAUUAUAAUGACUGUAGUCGGAAAAUAAGCCCCGGCUAACUUCGUGCCAGCAGCCGCGGUAAUACGAAGGGGGCGAGCGUUAUUCGGAAUCACUGGGCGUAAAGCGUGCGUAGGCGGUUUUGUAAGUUAGGAGUGAAAGCCCAGGGCUCAACCUUGGAAUUGCUCUUAAAACUGCAAGGCUCGAAUCUCGGAGAGGAUAGCGGAAUUUCCAGUGUAGCAGUGAAAUGCGUAGAUAUUGGAAGGAACACCAGUGGCGUAAGCGGCUAUCUGGACGAGUAUUGACGCUGAGGCACGAAAGCGUGGGGAUCAAACAGGAUUAGAAACCCUGGUAGUCC
rnacentral:rRNA from 1 species